UCCAGGGAUUUACAAGUGCUUUGUCAGACCUGGUUCGUUUUGUUGGGAUUGCACAGGUGUGGACAGACGCGAGCUGAUGGGGAUCUAACCUGUGACCCUUCAGUCGCAGGUUGCCCUCGGCGACCAGGAGGCCGCCUGCUGCCUGACUCAAACAGCAGGUGAAAGCGGUGCUUUAUCACAGCGAGCAGAGCGGCUGCAUCUAAUCACAACCCGUUAGGCCUAAAAGGUUUCCCAGGCAACCUGCCAGACCAUAAUAGAUGCAGCUGGGCACCUCUGUUGGGAAACUGUGUGUGUGUGUUUCAGAGGUGGACACACUUGUUUCAGGUGUGUGUUUCUUGACUCGUGUCUUUGCGAGGACAGAUUUUAACAUCAGUCUCGGUCGAGGCGUCUUCAGCAACUCUCUGGAGGACAAAAGGACAUUAUCUGGCAGAAACAGGACAAUUUCAGGAGGGAUAUUUUUAGAAUGGGAGACGGAUUCAGAAGUCACAUCGUGUCCUGACAGCGAGCGAGGAGGAACUUCAGAAUCAAAUUUUGGAGCGCAGACGACUGAACACGCUGCUGUAUUUGACAUAAUGAGAGCGAGAACAGGCUGUUCUGAUAAACUCCCUCCAGUUUGUGAAGCUAAACGAGGAGACCAGAGAAAACAACUGCUGACCUGGUAGAUCUCAUAUUUGAAGCCCAGGAUCUUGGCGAGGGCGUCCAACACGUCGAUGGAGAAGCCUUUAUACCUCUUCGGCUGUCCCAGGAUGUUCUCCGCCACCAUGACGAAAGGAUCUUCCUGCAGGCGGAGAAGGAGAGGACACAAACCUCAGAACAAGUCGGGAGAAACUUCACUCUUUACAAAGAGAGUGAAUAACUUUUAUCAGCCUUCCAGAGAAAAAACAGGCCUGUGAACAAAAGACGCACAAGUCGAACAUCUGAUAUCACAGUUAUAAUAUGAUGAGUGUCCUGAGAAUGUACAU